GGUUGACCUCGGAUCAGGUAGGGAUACCCGCUGAACUUAAGCAUAUCAAUAAGCGGAGGAAAAGAAACCAACCGGGAUUGCCUCAGUAACGGCGAGUGAAGCGGCAAGAGCUCAAAUUUGAAAGCUGGCUCCUUCGGGGUCCGCAUUGUAAUUUGCAGAGGAUGCUUCGGGUGCAGCCCCCGUCUAAGUGCCCUGGAACGGGCCGUCAUAGAGGGUGAGAAUCCCGUAU
rnacentral:rRNA from 2 species